rnacentral:rRNA from 1 species
UUUUACAUUUUUAAACGGUUGGGGAGAAUGUGCCAGAUCUCUUCUGAUCUUGGAAGCUAAGAAGGGUUGGUCAUGGUUAGUACUUUGACAGGAGACCACCUGAGAAUACCAGGUACUGUAGGCU